CAGGAUACAGGGCUGGAUGGACUUCUUAUGUUCUUAUGUCCACUGAAGUUAGGAAAAGAAGUAAUCAAUUUAACUUGCAGCAAGGAAGAUUUAAGUUACGUGUCAGGAAAAUCUUUUGAACUGUAAGGAUAGAUAAAUAUUGGAACAGGCUUUCACUAAAUACUGUGUAAUCCCCAUCAUUGGAAGUUUUAAAUAACUAGUUUGACAAACAUCUGUCAGGGAUGAUCUUCGCAUAUUUGGUUCUGCUGAGCAUGUGUAUGUAUGUGUGAAUCAGAUGACUUCUUGACAUCCCUUCCAGACUUCUAUUUCUGUGAUGUCUCCCCUUUUGACUUCCACUCCCUUUUUUUGAGUCAUUCUAGGUAGCCAUCUGGUUGAAAUGUUACUUGGUGGUCUUCCAGUGGAGAACAUCUACACGCUUUCAGGCGUAGAUUGAAGAUCCUAGCACAUCCCCACCCACUGACUGUACUGGUCCACUGACAGAGUUCAGUUCAGCACUGGAUACUGCAGUCUCCUAUUGUGGUGCAGGUCACGUAGCAGUGAAUGAACAAGAUUGCAUGAAUAAUGUGCUCUUUAUUCAGCGAUUGGGUAAAAAUGAAUGCCCUCAACACCUACGUACAUCCAAUCUCCACUGCUUCCUGUGUGCUUAUUCUUCCUGAAGCUUUAAUUAUUUAUCCUUGGAGAGAAUUUGACAGUUACAAGUAGUCACGACUCAGCAGAUUAACCCUACCAGCACCAAGUUUCAUUUCCAUAUCAAGCAGACUCAACUGUGUCUUGGAAUCAAAUGUUAGUUUUGAAGUAAUAUGAUUCCUAAUUAAAAUGAAAGCCAAGCAGGCUUUAAAUGCAAGUUAUUUGUAAAUCUACCAUGCUGCCUUUCAUGAAAUUAAAAUGGAUUUAACAUUAUUGCUAAUUUUAAGAUGAAGACUUGAAAAAUUAAAAAG